rnacentral:rRNA from 1 species
ACUGUACGGAUACUUGGGMUUCUUAUCYKCGAKYUWRCGGGAACCUCUUACAAGGAGGUUUUUAGUGGCGAACGGGUGAGCCACACGUAAGUAACCUGCCUUUAAGACRAGGAUAACAAMSGRAAGGUUACUAAGACUGGAUAGGAAACAAAAAGGCAUCUUUUUGUUUUUAAAAGACCUUCUUACGAAGGUAUGCUUAAAGAGGGGCUUGCGCCACAUUAGUUAGUUGGUAGAGUAAAAGCCUACCAAGACGAUGAUGUGUAGCUGGACUGAGAGGUUGAACAGCCACAUUGGGACUGAGACACGGCCCAAACUCCUACGGGAGGCAGCAGUAGGGAAUUUUCGGCAAUGGAGGAAACUCUGACCGAGCAACGCCGCGUGAACGAUGAAGUAUUUCGGUAUGUAAAGUUCUUUUAUUGAARAAGAAAAAGUAGUGGAAAAACUAUAUUGACGUUAUUCAAUGAAUAAGCCCCGGCUAACUAUGUGCCAGCAGCCGCGGUAAGACAUAGGGGGCGAGCGUUAUCCGGAAUUAUUGGGCGUAAAGGGUGCGUAGGCUGUUAGAUAAGUCUAUAAUUUAAUUUCAGUGCUUAACGCUGUCUUGUUAUAGAAACUGUCUUGACUAGAGUGAGAUAGAGGCAAGCGGAAUUCCAUGUGUAGCGGUAAAAUGUGUAAAUAUAUGGAGGAACACCAGAAGCGUAGGCGGCUUGCUGGGUCUUUACUGACGCUGAGGCACGAAAGCGUGGGUAGCAAACAGGAUUAGAUACCCUGGUAGUCCACGCCGUAAACGAUGAGUACUAAGUGUCGGGGUAAAACUCGGUACUGAAGUUAACACAUUAAGUACUCCGCCUGAGUAGUACGUACGCAAGUAUGAAACUUAAAGGAAUUGACGGGACUCCGCACAAGCGGUGGAUCAUGUUGUUUAAUUCGAAGAUACACGAAAAAUCUUACCRGGUCUUGACAUACUCUGCAAAGCUAUAGAAAUAUAGUGGAGGUUAUCACGUAUACAGGUGGUGCAUGGUUGUCGUCAGUUCGUGUCGUGAGAUGUUAGGUUAAGUUAUAAAACGAACGCAACCCUUGUCGUUAAUUGCCAGCACAUAAUGGUGGGGACUUUAACGAGACUGCCAAUUAAACAUUGGAGGAAGGUGAGGAUUACGUCAAAUCAUCAUGCCCCUUAUGAUCUGGGCUACAAACGUGAUACAAUGGCUGUGACAAAGAGUAGCUGAAACGCGAGUUUUUAGCCAAUCUCAAAAAAGCAGUCUCAGUUCGGAUUGAAGUCUGUAACUCGACUUCAUGAAGUUGGAAUCGCUAGUAAUCGCGAAUCAGCAUGUCGCGGUGAAUACGUUCUCGGGGUUUGUACACACCGCCCGUCAAACCACGAAAGUUAGCAAUGCCCGAAAGCAGUAGCUUAACUUCGCAAGAAGAGGGAACCUAA